GGUGCCAUGGCUUAGUUGGUUAAAGCACUUGCCUAGUAUGCAGGAGAUCCUGGGUUCAAAUCCCAGCUGGUGCCU